GAGUUAUCUCUUAAAUUCAGGAAGGAUUUUCAUUGAUCAAAUUUCACUUUUUCCGAGGGAAGCAAAAGCAAGGGGGUGCCCCUCAUUUCUGUGGUUCCUUGCCUCCUUGUCCAUCCAGGUCCCAUGUUUUCUCUUAGGUGUGACCAGAAUUCGCAAAAUCUCACUGGAGGGUCAUCCAGGGUUUGAUCAUACGGGUGCUUGAGAAGUAUCCUGAUUACAUAAAUGCUUUGAUAGUUAUAGGGCAGACUCAACUGCAGAAAGGACUGCUAGCGGAGGCUAUUGAAUAGUUGGAAUGUGCUAUCUCCAAGCUCUUCAUCUCCGCCAAUCCCACAGAAGUUGAAAAUAUUGAUCUCCUAAUUGUUGCUUCUCAGUGGGCUGGUGUUGCCUAUAUAAGACAGGGGAAAAUGGCUGAAGGAAUUGUACACCUGGAAAGAAUUGCAAAUUUGGAAGAGCCAGAGGAAAAAAGUUCCAAAGCCCAUUAUUAUGAUGGAUUGGUAUUACUUUCAAGGUCGCAAGGCUGAAGCUGUAAAGCAUCUGCGUUUAGCUGCUGGCCAGCUGCUUAUAAUCCCGAGUAUAAUGAACUACUGCAACAAUGUGAAAAUGACGACAAUGAUUUUACAAGUGAUCUUAGCAACAGCAGGAGAGCAGUUUACUAAUUUAUUUGUAAAGUGUACAAGACGAUGUUGUAAACUCAUCUGCUUGAGGCCACCUACGCAACAUAUUCAUAUCCCAUAAGUUUCCAGAUUAUCAAGAUUGUAGAGUCCGGCAAUAAUUUCCUGUCCCGGUCGGUCAACUCAUGAUAAGCAUUCCGGCGAAGUUUUGCUAUAAAAAGAGAAUGUUAAUUAAAUAAUUUCAUUCCUUGGUUUGUUUAUUGAAUUGUCUUAUACAUUGAAAUAAGUUAUAACUAGCGCUUUGUAUAGCAAUAAUAAUUUAGAAUUGGGACAUUAUGUCUUGUAA